rnacentral:siRNA from 1 species
UGAGAAAACUGCUAAAGAUGGCCG